CGCCUCUUGAAUUAAUAUAAGAGGUCCAGCCUGCCCAGUGACCCUGUUCAACGGCCGCGGUAUCCUAACCGUGCGAAGGUAGCGUAAUCACUUGUUCUUUAAAUGAGGACUAGUAUGAACGGCAUCACGAAGGUUAUACUGUCUCCUUUUUCUAAUCAGUGAACCUAAUCUCCCCGUGAAGAAGCGGGGAUAUAACUAUAAGACGAGAAGACCCUAUGGAGCUUAAAACAACACAGCACUUGCUAAAAACUAAACAUUCCCGAAUUUUUACUUUCUAGACAACAUGACUGUAAGUUUUUGGUUGGGGUGACCACGGAGUACAAUAUAACCUCCAUGUUGAAAGAAUUUUUUUCUAAGCCGAAAAUUACACUUUUAAGCAUCAAUAAAUUGACAUCUAUUGACCCAAUAUAUUUGAACAACGAACCAAGUUACCCUAGGGAUAACAGCGCAAUCCACUUCAAGAGCUCCUAUCGACAAGUGGGUUUACGACCUCGAUGUUGGAUCAGGGUUUCCCAGUGGUGCAGCCGCUACUAAAGGUUCGUUUGUUCAACGAUUAAAACCCU
rnacentral:rRNA from 1 species